GGGGUAACAGGAGUAGCUUGCUACUUGCUGACGACCGGCGCACGGGUGCGUAACGCGUAUACAACCUACCUUUUGCUGAGGAAUAGCCCAGAGAAAUUUGGAUUAAUCCCUCAUAGUAUUAUUAAAUGGCAUCGUUUAAUAAUUAAAGGCUACGGCAAGAGAUGGGUAUGCGUUCUAUUAGCUAGAUGGUGUGGUAACGGCACACCAUGGCAACGAUAGAUAGGGGCCCUGAGAGGGGGACCCCCCACACUGGUACUGAGACACGGACCAGACUCCUACGGGAGGCAGCAGUGAGGAAUAUUGGGCAAUGGAGGCAACUCUGACCCAGCCAUGCCGCGUGCAGGAAGACUGCCCUAUGGGUUGUAAACUGCUUUUAUACAGGAAGAAACAGCUCUUCGCGAAAGAGCCUUGACGGUACUGUAAGAAUAAGGAUCGGCUAACUCCGUGCCAGCAGCCGCGGUAAUACGGAGGAUCCAAGCGUUAUCCGGAAUCAUUGGGUUUAAAGGGUCCGUAGGUGGAUAAUUAAGUCAGAGGUGAAAUCCUGCAGCUCAACUGUAGAAUUGCCUUUGAAACUGGUUAUCUUGAGUCAUUAUGAAGUGGUUAGAAUGUGUAGUGUAGCGGUGAAAUGCAUAGAUAUUACACAGAAUACCGAUUGCGAAGGCAGAUCACUAAUAAUGUACUGACACUGAUGGACGAAAGCGUGGGUAGCGAACAGGAUUAGAUACCCUGGUAGUCCACGCCGUAAACGAUGGUCACUAGCUGUUUGGACUUUAAGUCUGAGUGGCUAAGCGAAAGUGAUAAGUGACCCACCUGGGGAGUACGUUCGCAAGAAUGAAACUCAAAGGAAUUGACGGGGGCCCGCACAAGCGG
rnacentral:rRNA from 1 species